rnacentral:rRNA from 1 species
ACGAACGCUGGCGGCGUGCUUAACACCUGCAAGUCGAACGGAAAGGCCCUGCUUUUGUGGGGUGCUCGAGUGGCGAACGGGUGAGUAACACGUGAGUAACCUGCCCUUGACUUUGGGAUAACUUCAGGAAACUGGGGCUAAUACCGGAUAGGAGCUCCUGCUGCAUGGUGGGGGUUGGAAAGUUUCGGCGGUUGGGGAUGGACUCGCGGCUUAUCAGCUUGUUGGUGGGGUAGUGGCUUACCAAGGCUUUGACGGGUAGCCGGCCUGGGAGGGUGACCGGCCACAUUGGGACUGAGGUACGGCCCAGACUCCUACGGGGGGCAGCAGUGGGGAAUAUUGCACAAUGGGCGGAAGCCUGAUGCAGCAACGCCGCGUGCGGGAUGACGGCCUUCGGGUUGUAAACCGCUUUCGCCUGUGACGAAGCGUGAGUGACGGUAAUGGGUAAAGAAGCACCGGCUAACUACGUG